rnacentral:rRNA from 1 species
GACGAACGCUGGCGGCGUGCUUAACACAUGCAAGUCGAACGAAGUGGCGAACGGGUGAGUAACGCGUAAUCAACCUGCCCUUCAGAGGGGGACAACAGUUGGAAACGACUGCUAAUACCGCAUACUGAAGGAGGGGAGUGCGGUGGGUUAGCUAGUUGGAGGGGUAACGGCCCACAAAGGCGAUGAUCAGUAGCCGGUCUGAGGUGAUGAACGGCCACAUUGUGACUGAGACACGGCCCAGACUCCUACGGGAGGCAGCAGUGGGGAAUCUUCCGCAAUGGACGAAAGUCUGACGGAGCAACGCCGCGUUAGUGAUGACGGCCUUCGGGUUGUAAAGCUCUGUUAAUCGGGACGCGGUACCGGAAUAGAAAGCCACGGCUAACUACGUGCCAGCAGCCGCGGUAAUUC